rnacentral:tRNA from 1 species
GCGGGGGUGGCCGAGUCAGGUCAAAGGCGCAGGGCUUAGGACCCUGUGGGGCAGCCCUGCGUGGGUUCAAAUCCCACCCCCCGCACCA